AGAAUCAACGCUGGCGGCGUGCCUCAGACAUGCAAGUCGAACGCGAAAGUCCCCUUCGGGGGGCAAGUAGAGUGGCGCACGGGUGAGUAACACGUAGGUAAUCUACCUUCGGAUGGGGAAUAACAAUCGGAAACGGUUGCUAAUACCGCAUAAUGCAGCGGCACCUAAUGGUGACAGUUGUUAAAGCGGGGGAUCGAAAGACCUCGCGUCUGAAGAGGAGCCUGCGGCGGAUUAGCUAGUUGGUAGGGUAACGGCUUACCAAGGCAACGAUCCGUAGCCGGCCUGAGAGGGCGGUCGGCCACACUGACACUGACAUACGGGUCAGACUCCUACGGGAGGCAGCAGUCGGAAUUUGGACAAUGG
rnacentral:rRNA from 1 species